rnacentral:rRNA from 1 species
GACAGAGGUGCCAAGCGUUAGGCGGAAUCACUGGGCUUAAAGCGUGUGUAGGCGGAUCGUUAAGUACCUUGUGAAAUCCCACGGCUCAACCGUGGAACUGCUGGGUAUACUGGCGAUCUUGAGCCACCUAGGGGCGAGCGGAACAAACGGUGGAGCGGUGAAAUGCGUAGAUAUCGUUUGGAACGCCAAUGGUGAAAACAGCUAGCUGGGGAUGUGCCGACGCUGAGACACGAAAGCCAGGGGAGCGAACGGG